rnacentral:rRNA from 1 species
UUGAACGCUGGCGGAAUGCUUUACACAUGCAAGUCGAGCGGCAGCGCGGGGGCAACUCUGGCGGCGAGCGACGAACGGGUGAGUAACAUAUCGGAACGUACCCAGACGUGGGGGACAACUAGUCGAAAGACUAGCUAAUACCGCAUACGUCCUGAGGGAGAAAGCGGGGGAUCGCAAGACCUCGCGCGUUUGGAGCGGCCGAUAUCUGAUUAGCUAGAUGGUGGGGUAAAGGCCCACCAUGGCGACGAUCAGUAGCUGGGCUGAGAGGAUGAUCAGCCACACUGGAACUGAGACACGGUCCAGACUCCUACGGGAAGCAGCAGUGGGGAAUUUUGGACAAUGGGGGAAACCCUGAUCCAGCCAUUCCGCGUGAGUGAAGAAGGCCUUCGGGUUGUAAAGCUCUUUCGGCAGGAACGAAACGGCGGAAUCUAAUACAUUCCACUAAUGACGGUACCUGAAGAAGAAGCACCGGCUAACUACGU